GGCGGGCCCCGGGGCCUGAGGGGGAGCGCGGCGAGGCCGUGCUGCUCCCGGGAUUCCCAGCGAGCCCGCUUAGCGCCGGUCGGAGCGGUCCCGGAGCUGCUCCGGAGGCCCAGGCAGGUUCCCAGCCAAGGCUGGGGUCACUGGCAUGUAAAAGGAUCCCAGCUCCAGAGGUUCAGGGAAGUAGGCAGGGCGUACAGAUUCCACAUCUCUGAGGGAGAUUUGUUCUCUCCAGAAAUCUCAGGGACCAAUUCUACAACUGAUAUGAACGCUGCAAGGACUGGCAGCCCCCAAACCCAGGGGUCUCUUCAUCAUUAGUUUUAGGUUGAGAGUGCACCAUGAUUGUAUAUAAACGAGCAUUUACAGAUUCAAGUCCAAACAUGCGUUGUUUAAAAGAUGCAUUAACUUCAGGCAAAAGACACACCCAUAAGCUAAGAUCUAAGCAUGCAGAUUUCUGGCGGAAUAGACCUGACUACAGUUGACAGGAAAAUGAUCAUAGCUGCAGCUGUUCAGUAAGCAUGGGAAGUCUGAAGCUGUCUCCAGCACCUCUUCUUCAGCAAAUUGCACAUCUGAUACACCAGAGGACUUUUCUAUAUCCAUGGACAACUUUUCAAGUUGGGAGGAUGGGGGAAUGCUGUGCAAACAGAGUAUCGCUGUGAGCAGUUCCUCAUAACCAUUUUCUCAAGCAGUUGUGGCUGCACAUUUUCCCAUUCAGCGCCACUGCCUGCUCAGACCUGCCCCUGCCACCCUUUCCACGGUGUGAGCACAGCUGCCUGUGUUGCCUUGCAGGAAGCCAGAUAUUGCCUUUUUUUUUUUUUUUCUGAAGUUAUUUUUAACCUGGCUCUGUUCAUUCAUGUAGCUUGUCAUGUGGCGCCACAAAAAGUGCCAGGCGCUGUGAUAUGGAACAGGGAGCCAGUGGCAAGGGGUCCUGGGUGUACCUUAGGCUGUUGUUACUGCUGAAAACAGCAUAUCAAAUCAACUGUGGCCUGAAGAAUCUGAUUUAUUAUGGUGGUAAAUCCAGGUUUUGGGCACUGAGUCUGAGAUUAGAAACAGCAUAGUCCUUUUAAGCUACAAAGCUCAAUCUGCUUCUUAAAUGCAUUCAAUUUCUUUCAAUGAGUAUCAUUGCCCUUGAAAAUGUGCUGGCUCAGAUAUUGUCCCCCUCCAUUGGUUUAAGUUAGUGCUGGAUCACAUCUGAUCUAUCCAUAGCUCACACAAAUCUAGCAUAAAAUCUUAAAGAU